AGUGAACGCUGGCGGUAGGCCUAACACAUGCAAGUCGAACGGCAGCACAGUAAGAGCUUGCUCUUACGGGUGGCGAGUGGCGGACGGGUGAGGAAUACAUCGGAAUCUACUUUUUCGUGGGGGAUAACGUAAGGAAACUUACGCUAAUACCGCAUACGACCUACGGGUGAAAGCAGGGGAUCUUCGGACCUUGCGCGAUUGAAUGAGCCGAUGUCGGAUUGGCUAGUUGGCGGGGUAAAGGCCCACCAAGGCGACGAUCCGUAGCUGGUCUGAGAGGAUGAUCAGCCACACUGGAACUGAGACACGGUCCAGACUCCUACGGGAGGCAGCAGUGGGGAAUAUUGGACAAUGGGCGCAAGCCUGAUCCAGCCAUACCGCGUGGGUGAAGAAGGCCUUCGGGUUGUAAAGCCCUUUUGUUGGGAAAGAAAAGCAGCAGGUUAAUACCCCGCUGUUCUGACGGUACCCAAAGAAUAAGCACCGGCUAACUUCGUG
rnacentral:rRNA from 1 species